ACAGUGUCUGGUGGGUAGUUUGACUGGGGCGGUCUCCUCCUAAAGAGUAACGGAGGAGCACGAAGGUUGGCUAAUCCUGGUCGGACAUCAGGAGGUUAGUGCAAUGGCAUAAGCCAGCUUGACUGCGAGCGUGACGGCGCGAGCAGGUGCGAAAGCAGGUCAUAGUGAUCCGGUGGUUCUGAAUGGAAGGGCCAUCGCUCAACGGAUAAAAGGUACUCCGGGGAUAACAGGCUGAUACCGCCCAAGAGUUCAUAUCGACGGCGGUGUUUGGCACCUCGAUGUCGGCUCAUCACAUCCUGGGGCUGAAGUAGGUCCCAAGGGUAUGGCUGUUCGCCAUUUAAAGUGGUACGCGAGCUGGGUUUAGAACGUCGUGAGACAGUUCGGUCCCUAUCUGCCGUGGG
rnacentral:rRNA from 1 species